rnacentral:rRNA from 1 species
CUGGGGCGGUCUCCUCCUAAAGAGUAACGGAGGAGCACGAAGGUUGGCUAAUCCUGGUCGGACAUCAGGAGGUUAGUGCAAUGGCAUAAGCCAGCUUGACUGCGAGCGUGACGGCGCGAGCAGGUGCGAAAGCAGGUCAUAGUGAUCCGGUGGUUCUGAAUGGAAGGGCCAUCGCUCAACGGAUAAAAGGUACUCCGGGGAUAACAGGCUGAUACCGCCCAAGAGUUCAUAUCGACGGCGGUGUUUGGCACCUCGAUGUCGGCUCAUCACAUCCUGGGGCUGAAGUAGGUCCCAAGGGUAUGGCUGUUCGCCAUUUAAAGUGGUACGCGAGCUGGGUUUAGAACGUCGUGAGACAGUUCGGUCCCUAUCUGCCGUGGGCGCUGGAGAACUGAGGGGGGCUGCUCCUAGUACGAGAGGACCGGAGUGGACGCAUCACUGGUGUUCGGGUUGUCAUGCCAAUGGCACUGCCCGGUAGCUAAAUGCGGAAGAGAUAAGUGCUGAAAGCAUCUAAGCACGAAACUUGCCCCGAGAUGAGUUCUCCCUGAGACUUAGAGUCUCCUGAAGGAACGUUGAAGACGACGACGUUGAUAGGCCGGGUGUGUAAGCGCAGCGAUGCGUUGAGCUAACCGGUACUAAUGAACCGUGAGGCUUAACCUUACA